rnacentral:rRNA from 1 species
AAUCAACGCUGGCGGCGUGCCUCAGACAUGCAAGUCGAACGCGAAAGGUUCCUUCGGGAACCGAGUAGAGUGGCGCACGGGUGAGUAACACGUAGGUAAUUUGCCUUUGGGUGGGGAAUAACUCAGGGAAACUUGAGCUAAUACCGCAUAAUGCAGCGGCUCGACAUCGAGACAGUUGUUAAAGCGGGGGAUCGCAAGACCUCGCGCCUAAAGAGAAGCCUGCGGCAGAUUAGCUAGUUGGUAGGGUAAUGGCCUACCAAGGCAACGAUCUGUAACCGGCCUGAGAGGGCGGUCGGUCACACUGACACUGACAUACGGGUCAGACUCCUACGGGAGGCAGCAGUCGGGAAUUUUGGGCAAUGGGCGAAAGCCUGACCCAGCAACGCCGCGUGAA